UGACAGUCGUACCAUUCUAAACACUAAAUCGAUGCCAAGUGAGUAACUAGUUCCUUCUGAACAGUACCUCCUUGAGGUCAGAGACUGUCUCUGGAGACAAUAGCACGGCUGCAAGAAAGAAAACACAUUUUUGUCAAAGAUAUCCAUCUUGAAUACAUCAGGACAUACACAAGAAUGAAGGGGCAUUUUGGGGCCUAUACAGAUACUGGACAUUCAACUUCAAUCAAUAUGCAUUCACAGAAACCUCAGGCAUUCAACUUCAAUCAGAACCCAC